UGGGGAAUAUUGCACAAUGGGCGCAAGCCUGAUGCAGCCAUGCCGCGUGUAUGAAGAAGGCCUUCGGGUUGUAAAGUACUUUCAGCGGGGAGGAAGGGAGUAAAGUUAAUACCUUUGCUCAUUGACGUUACCCGCAGAAGAAGCACCGGCUAACUCCGUGCCAGCAGCCGCGGUAAUACGGAGGGUGCAAGCGUUAAUCGGAAUUACUGGGCGUAAAGCGCACGCAGGCGGUUUGUUAAGUCAGAUGUGAAAUCCCCGGGCUCAACCUGGUAACUGCAUCUGAUACUGGCGAGCUUGAGUCUCGUAGAGGGGGGUAGAAUUCCAGGUGUAGCGGUGAAAUGCGUAGAGAUCUGGAGGAAUACCGGUGGCGAAGGCGGCCCCCUGGACGAAGACUGACGCUCAGGUGCGAAAGCGUGGGGAGCAAACAGG
rnacentral:rRNA from 1 species